UAUUAUAUUUAUUAAAUCACAAGGGGCAUCGAGCAAUGACUUUCAGGCCAAGUACAUUAUUUUGCAUCUUAAAAGGGAAUCGGAUAAUUCUUUACUUCUAUCCGAAAAAUGGUGAUUCUUUGCUUCUGGACACCAUUGAUCACAUUUCAUGCGGUCCAUAGACAAAAGCAGGAAGGAGAACAUGAGCAAUGCCCCAUAUGGAUGAAAAAUAGGUCACUGAUAUUCUUUGCUUUAGUUCAUACUCCUCG
rnacentral:lncRNA from 1 species